GAUAUUGUUCAAUGGGGGCAACCCUGAUCCAGCCACGCCGCGUGUGUGGAGAAGAUCUUCGUCUUUUUAAGCACCUUUAUCCGCAGGGAAGGGCAUUAGGCUAAUACCCUCAAGUGUUCACGUUACCAACAGACUAACCACCGGCGACCUCAGUGCCAGCCGCCGCGGUAAUACAGAGGGUGCAAGCGUUAAUCGGAAUUACUGGGCGUAAAGCGCGCGUAGGUGGUUCAGUAAGGUGGGUGUGAAAUCCCCGGGCUUAACCUGGGAACUGCUUUCAUAACUGCUGAGCUAGAGUACGGUAGAGGGUAGUGGAAUUUCCUGUGUAGCGGUGAAAUGCGUAGAUAUAGGAAGGAACACCAGUGGCGAAGGCGACUACCUGGACUGAUACUGACACUGAGGUGCGAAAGCGUGGGGAGCAAAC
rnacentral:rRNA from 1 species